rnacentral:rRNA from 1 species
GCGUUGUCCGGAAUUAUUGGGCGUAAAGAGCUCGUAGGUGGUCUGUUGCGUCCGCUGUGAAAUCUCAGGGCUUAACCCUGAGCCUGCAGUGGAUACGGGCAGACUAGAGGUAGGUAGGGGAGAAUGGAAUUCCUGGUGUAGCGGUGAAAUGCGCAGAUAUCAGGAGGAACACCGGUGGCGAAGGCGGUUCUCUGGGCCUUACCUGACACUGAGGAGCGAAAGCGUG